AUUGAACGCUGGCGGCAUGCCUUACACAUGCAAGUCGAACGGUAACAGGUCUUCGGAUGCUGACGAGUGGCGAACGGGUGAGUAAUACAUCGGAACGUGCCCGAUCGUGGGGGAUAACGUAGCGAAAGCUACGCUAAUACCGCAUACGAUCUGUGGAUGAAAGCGGGGGACCGUAAGGCCUCGCGCGAUUGGAGCGGCCGAUGUCAGAUUAGGUAGUUGGUGAGGUAAAGGCUCACCAAGCCGACGAUCUGUAGCUGGUCUGAGAGGACGACCAGCCACACUGGGACUGAGACACGGCCCAGACUCCUACGGGAGGCAGCAGUGGGGAAUUGUGGACAAUGGGCGCAAGCCUGAUCCAGCAAUGCCGCGUGCAGGAUGAAGGCCUUCGGGUUGUAAACUGCUUUUGUACGGAGCGAAACGGCUUCCACUAAUACUGGGGGCUAAUGACGGUACCGUAAGAAUAAGCACCGGCUAACUACGUGCCAGCCGCCGCGGUAACAC
rnacentral:rRNA from 1 species